CCUACGGGCGGCAGCAGUAGGGAAUCUUCCACAAUGGGCGAAAGCCUGAUGGAGCAACGCCGCGUGGGUGAAGAAGGUCUUCGGAUCGUAAAACCCUGUUGUUAGAGAAGAAAGUGCGUGAGAGUAACUGUUCACGUUUCGACGGUAUCUAACCAGAAAGCCACGGCUAACUACGUGCCAGCAGCCGCGGUAAUACGUAGGUGGCAAGCGUUAUCCGGAUUUAUUGGGCGUAAAGGGAACGCAGGUGGUCUUUUAAGUCUGAUGUGAAAGCCUUCGGCUUAACCGGAGUAGUGCAUUGGAAGCUGGGAGACGUGAGUGCAGAAGAGGAGAGUGGAACUCCAUGUGUAGCGGUGAAAUGCGUAGAUAUAUGGAAGAACACCAGUGGCGAAAGCGGCUCUCUGGUCUGUAACUGACGCUGAGGUUCGAAAGCGUGGGUAGCAAACAGGAUUAGAUACCCUUGUAGUC
rnacentral:rRNA from 1 species